CUCAAUGAAAUUAAUUAAAUAGCCGCAGUAAAUUAACUGUGCUAAGGUAGCAUAAUAAUUAGUUUUUUAAUUAAAAACUAGAAUGAAAGAGAAAAUGAAAAAUUAACUUUUUAAUUAUAAUAAAUAAAUAUAAAUUAAUUUAUAAGUUAAAAAUCUUAUAUAAAAUAAAAAGACAAGAAGACCCUUUAGAAUUUUAUAAAUAAAAAAAUUUAAUAAUUAUAAAUUUGAAUAUUUAUUAAGUUGGGGAGACUAUGAAAUAUUAAAAACUUUCACUUUUUUAAAACAAAAAUAAAUGAAUCUAUAAAUAUCCAGUUAACAGCCGAAUAAAAAACAAAUUACCUAAGGGAUAACAGCGUAAAAUUUCUAAAAAGAUCAAAUUUACAGAAUAAAUUACGACCUCGAUGUUGGAUUAAGAAAAAAUUAUAAAGAAGAAUUUAUAAAAAUUAGGUCUGUUCGACCUUUAAUCUCUU
rnacentral:rRNA from 1 species